rnacentral:rRNA from 1 species
UAAUACGUAGGGUGCAAGCGUUGUCCGGAAUUAUUGGGCGUAAAGAGCUCGUAGGCGGUUUGUCGCGUCGAAUGUGAAAACCCGGGGCUCAACCCCGGGCCUGCAUUCGAUACGGGCAGACUAGAGUUCGGUAGGGGAGUCUGGAAUUCCUGGUGUAGCGGUGAAAUGCGCAGAUAUCAGGAGGAACACCGGUGGCGAAGGCGGGACUCUGGGCCGAUACUGACGCUGAGGAGCGAAAGCGUGGGGAGCGAACAGGAUUAGAUACCCUGGUAGUCCACGCCGUAAACGUUGGGCGCUAGGUGUGGGGUUCCUUCCACGAACUCCGUGCCGCAGCUAACGCAUUAAGCGCCCCGCCUGGGGAGUACGGCCGCAAGGCUA